rnacentral:snRNA from 1 species
UUUUUCUAUUUGUCCCAAUUUUCU